rnacentral:lncRNA from 1 species
UAAAACUGAGCUGGAUCCUCAAUUAUCACUUGAUUAAUAUACUGGCUAAUAGGGUGUAUAGAAGUGGACAAUUUCUAUAAAGGAAACCAUUCAUACAUACUAAAGGAGUAUAGAACAUAAAGUCCAAGAAUGGAAUUUAUGGUAAUUACAUUUAUUCCUUACUUAUGUGCACUUCAACAAUAAAUGGAAAAUAUAUUUUUGCAUGACCAUUAUAUUCUCAAAAAAUAUAUAUAUUAUAGGUAUUGUUGAAAUGCACAUGACUAAGGAAUAUAUGUAAUACCAUAAAUUCUGUUCCUGGACUUAAUAUCUUCAUAUAUAGUCUCUAAAAUUCCAUGUUUAUAAGUCAGUUUUACACCAGGUAAUCGGACUAUUUUUUUUCCAUACCUGCCACCUCUGAUGAGCGCAGUUGUUAGGUAAUUUUCUGAUUACCUAAUAUCCAGUGCAAAACCAAUUGGUAAGAUCAGCUGUAAUGAAUCUAUAAUAUUGUAUACUUAAACUAAUAAUAAUAAUAAUGAUAAUAUGUGUAUGUAGUAUAUACACCAAUGUGUCAAUAUGGUUUACAUGUAGGUUUCACAACUCAGCUACGAUUACAUUUAAUCCCUUUAGAAGUAUGUGUAACACCAAAUAGACAGAAGAAAUACAAAGAAAAAGUAUCCCUUUUUUUUUCCUCGUAUUUUUUUCAAUUUUUAUUCUAAUUCAGUAAGUAUGUAUUUGUGCCUAUAUUUUUAUAUGUACUGUCUCAGUAAUAUCUCCUUAAAACACUUGACUGAAGUCUGAUGGGAUCUGUCGGUUUGUUUUACACUCGUACUUCUAAAGUACGGAAUUAUGGAAUUAAUAACAAUCUGUUUAAUUGCACAAACUAACUGAUGCUAUCUCUUACACUGUGUAUAUAUGUUUGUAAUUAUUAUGAUCGUAAGGUUGUGGGUUUCGAUUCCUGGACCAGACGAUGCGUUGUGUUCUUGAGCAAAACACUUCAUUUUCACAUUGCUCCAGUCCACUCAGCUGGCAACAAUGAGUAAUCCUGCGACAGACCAGCGUUCUGUCCAGGUGGGGAAUUUCUAUGCCACUGAAACCAGGAAACCGGCCCUUAUGAGCCUGGCAUGGCUCGAGAAGGAAUAUUUGUGGAGGCGCGAUGGCCCAGUGGUUAGGGCAGUGGACUCACAGUCGGAGGAUCACGGUUUCGAUUCCAAGACCGAGCGUUGUGUAUGUUUAUUGAGCAAAAACACCUAAAGCUCUACAAGGCUCCGGCAGGGGGGGGUGGGUGGCAAACCCUGUUGUACUCUUUCGCCCCAACUUUCUCUCACUCUUUCUUCCUGGUUCUUGAGUAACACUGCAAUGAACUGGCAUUGCGUCCAGUUGUGGGGGAAUCACAUAUGCCAUAGAAACCAGGAAACCGGACCCAUGAGCCUGGCUAGGCUUGAAAAGGGCACAUAAAUAUAAUAAAAUAGUAUUUCUAAUUGUUAGAAGACAAUAUCUGAUAUCCUAACAAGCAUUGUUAAAUACACCAAAGUUGAUCAUGGUGCCGGCUUUAAAAAUGGUUGCAAAUCACUGCUUUUAUUCUAACAUCUUACAUUUGGACAGUAUGUAUGUUUGUGUGUGCAUGAGAGAGAAAAUGCAGGUCUCUUUCUCUUUGUCUUCUUCCUCCUCUCACUACCUAUCAAGUUAUAUAUACAUAAAUAUGUAUGUAUAUACAUACAUAAAUAUGUAUGUAUACACAUAUAUAAAUAUGUAUGUUUAUUGCAAGCAAAAUGUCUCAUGUUACCAUUCUGUGUGUCUUAACCCUCUUUUGUCAGACGGUCCCAAUCCCCUUACUAAUUCUUUAGCUUUCGUCUCCUCUACCAGAGGUUUCCCACGGUUUCCUUUUUUUAAAAACUCACGGGCUCAUUUUACAAAUGGCCAAACCUUUCUUCUCUUGUUUCAUAUUUUAAAACUUUUAUUUUAAUACAUCUCAUAUACAAUACAGAUUGUAUGUUUGGAUAUCCCCUAUAGUGAGUGUAUGAGGCACAUCAACUAAAUUUCACUAAAUUUUGUUGUCAAUAAGAUACUCUAGAAACGCCUUGAAUUUUUUUUUUCAGUGGUUGGGUGGCGGUCAUUUUACAUUUUUUUUUUUUUCUGUCUAUAAACACAUAAUUUAUUUCGCAUGUAGAAGAAUUCUCCACAUUGUUAAAUACAGAAUGCUGUUGAACAAAAUAAAGAAUGGGGGGGAAAAAAGAAAAAAAAAAUCUUACAAAAAUCAAAAAUAAGAAAUCUGAAUUUCAAGGACCAGUUGGUUUUUUUUUUUUUUUAGUGUUUUAUUUUUUAUUUUUUUUCAAAAAAAAAAUUAAUUGAAAUUCUGUAAUCUUCCGAUGCCAUCUAAUUUUCAGUUGAUACUGAAAUAUUUUGCUACAAACACAUGUACAUGUAUACACACACACACACACACACACAUACAUAUAUAUGCUUACACAAUAUCCAUGACGUAUUUAGACCUUCAACUCCAUAAAUCGUGAACGAAUCAAAAGUGGGGUAGUACUCCCUCUCCCCCCUCUUUUUUUUUUUUAUCUUGGCCUUCAUUCAAAAUAAAAAUACUGUGUAAUGCUGAGCUGCAGUCCCAAUGUUUGUGAUAUACAGAUCUCAACUUUGUGCGUGUCUCAUUUCGAUAUGGAGGCACCUUCGUUUCUUCUGUGACUGACUUCACUAAAGAUUUUAUAAAAAUUGCUGCUUAAACAUCACACAUACAGAUGCAGACAAAUGCACAUGGACACACACAUAUACACACACAUAUUAUAAAUAUAUAUAUAUAUAUACACAUGCACACACAUACAUAUAUACACACAUAACACACACAUAUAUACAUGCAACAAACAUACGUAUAUAUUUAUAUAUAUCCACACACACUCAUACAAACACAUAAUCAUGUAUCUAUAUGUGUGUGUAUAUAUAUGCACACAUGCACAUAUGUGUCUGUAUAUAUAUAUAUAUAUACGCAUAUAUAUAUGGGUAUGUAUGUAUAUAUGUGUGUGUGUGUGUGUAUAUGUAUGUGUGUAUGUUUGUAUGUUAAUAUCAUACCUACCUACACACAUCUGCAAUGAUUUCAUAAUAAAUUUUUCAUUUUCAC